rnacentral:rRNA from 1 species
GUAAACGAUGAUAACUAGCUGUCCGGGCUCAUAGAGCUUGGGUGGCGCAGCUAACGCAUUAAGUUAUCCGCCUGGGGAGUACGGUCGCAAGAUUAAAACUCAAAGGAAUUGACGGGGGCCUGCGCAAGCGGUGGAGCAUGCGGUUUAAUUCGAAGCAACGCGCAGAACCUUACCAGCCUUUGACAUCCUAGGACGGUUUCUGGAGACAGACUCCUUCCCUUCGGGGACCUAGUGACAGGUGCUGCAUGGCUGUCGUCAGCUCGUAUCGUGAGAUGUUGGGUUAAGUCCCGCAACGAGCGCAACCCUCGUCCUUAGUUGCCAUCAUUUAGUUGGGCACUUUAAGGAAACUGCCGGUGAUAAGCCGGAGGAAGGUGGGGAUGACGUCAAGUCCUCAUGGCCCUUACAGGCUGGGCUACACACGUGCUACAAUGGCAUCUACAGUGGGCAGCUAUCCCGCAAGGGUAAGCUAAUCUCCAAAAGAUGUCUCAGUUCGGAUUGUCCUCUGCAACUCGAGGGCAUGAAGGCGGAAUCGCUAGUAAUCGCGGAUCAGCAUGCCGCGGUGAAUACGUUCCCAGGCCUUGCACUCACCGCCCGUC